rnacentral:rRNA from 1 species
AACGCGAAGAACCUUACCUGGGUUUGACAUCCCUUUGAACAUUUUUAGAGAUAGAGAUGGGCUCGCAAGAGACAGAGGAGACAGGUGCUGCAUGGCUGUCGUCAGCUCGUGUUGUGAAAUGUUGGGUUAAGUCCCGCAACGAGCGCAACCCCUGCUUUUGGUUGCCAUCAUUCAGUUGGGCACUCCAGAAGGACUGCCGUCGUUAAGACGGAGGAAGGUGGGGAUGACGUCAAGUCCUCAUGGCCUUUAUAUCCAGGGCGACACACGUGAUACAAUGGUAGGUACAGAGGGUAGCGAAGCUGCAAAGUGAAGCAAAUCUCAAAAAGCCUAUCUCAGUUCGGAUUGGAGUCUGCAACUCGACUCCAUGAAGUUGGAAUCGCUAGUAAUCGCGGAUCAGCACGCCGCGGUGAAUACGUUCCCGGGCCUUGUACACACCGGAGUGC